AGAGAGUGCUUGAACAGAGUUGGA
rnacentral:siRNA from 1 species